rnacentral:tRNA from 1 species
GGCCCGUUAGCUCAGUUGGCUAGAGCGUCGUGCUAAUAACGCGAAGGUCGCUGGUUCGAUCCCCUCACGGGCCA